UAGGGAAUCUUCGGCAAUGGACGAAAGUCUGACCGAGCAACGCCGCGUGAGUGAAGAAGGUUUUAGGAUCGUAAAACUCUGUUGUUAGAGAAGAACAAGGACGUUAGUAACUGAACGUCCCCUGACGGUAUCUAACCAGAAAGCCACGGCUAACUACGUGCCAGCAGCCGCGGUAAUACGUAGGUGGCAAGCGUUGUCCGGAUUUAUUGGGCGUAAAGGGAGCGCAGGCGGUUUCUUAAGUCUGAUGUGAAAGCCCCCGGCUCAACCGGGGAGGGUCAUUGGAAACUGGGAGACUUGAGUGCAGAAGAGGAGAGUGGAAUUCCAUGUGUAGCGGUGAAAUGCGUAGAUAUAUGGAGGAACACCAGUGGCGAAGGCGGCUCUCUGGUCUGUAACUGACGCUGAGGCUCGAAAGCGUGGGGAGCAAACAGG
rnacentral:rRNA from 1 species